rnacentral:lncRNA from 10 species
GAUUACAGGAGUGAGUCACUACACCCAGCCUAAGGCUGGAUCUCCAGAACUGUUCUCUGGAGGACCCUGGUCCAAACUUUCAUCAGGCACAUACCACUGUCAUCAUAGACCUGCAAGCAAACCCCCUCAAAGGUGACUUGGCCAACACCUUCCGUGGCUUUACUCAGCUCCAGACUCUGAUACUGCCACAACAUGUCAACUGUCCUGGAGGAAUUAAUGCCUGGAAUACUAUCACCUCUUAUAUAGACAACCAAAUCUGUCAAGGGCAAAAGAACCUUUGCAAUAACACUGGGGACCCAGAAAUGUGUCCUGAGAAUGGAUCUUGUGUACCUGAUGGUCCAGGUCUUUUGCAGUGUGUUUGUGCUGAUGGUUUCCAUGGAUACAAGUGUAUGCGCCAGGGCUCGUUCUCACUGCUUAUGUUCUUCGGGAUUCUGGGAGCCACCACUCUAUCCGUCUCCAUUCUGCUUUGGGCGACCCAGCGCCGAAAAGCCAAGACUUCAUGAACUACAUAGGUCUUACCAUUGACCUAAGAUCAAUCUGAACUAUCUUAGCCCAGUCAGGGAGCUCUGCUUCCUAGAAAGGCAUCUUUCGCCAGUGGAUUCGCCUCAAGGUUGAGGCCGCCAUUGGAAGAUGAAAAAUUGCACUCCCUUGGUGUAGACAAAUACCAGUUCCCAUUGGUGUUGUUGCCUAUAAUAAACACUUUUUUCUUUUU